rnacentral:misc_RNA from 1 species
AAGUAGUAAUCCGUAUGGAACCUGCGGAAGGAUCAUUAACACGUGUCCAACGUUAAACCACUUCAUCUCACCAGCACCGAAACGAUCCUUUCGGCAUGUCCGUCGUGACCCACCGGGAUCCAGCAUUGUUAACAGUUGUUCGGGCAGCCCUAGAAGCCCCGGAGAACUCCCGAGCGGUUAGUUUUGCAUGGAAGACAUAGUUUUCUUGCGGUGGGUCUGGUAAAUCCGCAAGCGACCCAAUUCAUCGCGGCAAAAGCUCCCAAACAACACGCCCCGAGACCACGUCUACGUCGGCCUC